rnacentral:misc_RNA from 1 species
UCUCCGUUGGUGAACCAGCGGAGGGAUCAUUACCGAGUGCAAACUCAUAACCCUUUGUGAACCUAUAUCUGUAGCUUCGGCGGCUCGCUCUCGGGCGAGCCCGCCGGUAAUAUCAGUAUCUCUGUUUGAACCCGACGAUACUUCUGAGUGUUCUUAGCGAACAGUUAAAACUUUUAACAACGGAUCUCUUGGCUCUA